UUCUCAGUUCGGAUCGGAGUCUGCAACCCGACUCCGUGAAGCUGGAUUCGCUAGUAAUCGCGCAUCAGCCAUGGCGCGGUGAAUACGUUCCCGGGCCUUGUACACACCGCCCGUCAAGCCAUGGGAGCCGGGGGUGCUUGAAGUGCGUCGCCGCAAGGCGCGCCCUAGAGCAAAACCGGUGACUGGGGCUAAGUCGUAACAAGGUACC
rnacentral:rRNA from 1 species